AACGAACGCUGGCGGCAUGCCUAACACAUGCAAGUCGAACGAGAUCUUCGGGUCUAGUGGCGCACGGGUGCGUAACGCGUGGGAAUCUGCCCUUUGGUUCGGAAUAACAGUUGGAAACGACUGCUAAUACCGGAUGAUGACGAAAGUCCAAAGAUUUAUCGCCAGAGGAUGAGCCCGCGUAGGAUUAGCUAGUUGGUGUGGUAAAGGCGCACCAAGGCGACGAUCCUUAGCUGGUCUGAGGAUGAUCAGCCACACUGGGACUGAGACACGGCCCAGACUCCUACGGGAGGCAGCAGUGGGGAAUAUUGGACAAUGGGCGAAAGCCUGAUCCAGCAAUGCCGCGUGAGUGAUGAAGGCCUUAGGGUUGUAAAGCUCUUUUACCCGGGAUGAUAAUGACAGUACCGGGAGAAUAAGCUCCGGCUAACUCCGUGCCAGCCGCCGCGGUAA
rnacentral:rRNA from 1 species